rnacentral:rRNA from 1 species
UACGUAGGGUGCAAGCGUUAAUCGGAAUUACUGGGCGUAAAGCGUGCGCAGGCGGUUUGGUAAGACAGAUGUGAAAUCCCCGGGCUUAACCUGGGAAUUGCAUUUGUGACUGCCCGGCUAGAAUCUGGCAGAGGGGGGUAGAAUUCCACGUGUAGCAGUGAAAUGCGUAGAGAUGUGGAGGAAUACCGAUGGCGAAGGCAGCCCCCUGGGCUAAGAUUGACGCUCAUGCACGAAAGCGUGGGGAGCAAACAGG